rnacentral:lncRNA from 1 species
GUAGUGACGGGAACGCGAGACGGGAUUGAGUUCAAGGGUUCGUCUGAGCUGAGAACGGGAUGAAGCUGAGACGGUAAUGCUUGCUGGAACGGAAUCAAGAACGAAUUAAGGUUCUUCGGGAUUAGGGUUCCAAAAGACCAAGGCGGCGCCGUCUAUUGUUUCUGCGAGUGUGCGCGCGUCUGAGAUCGGAUUGACAAACGGUUUUUGCCGAUAGAUUCGUCUUGUCCAGAGCUUCAAUUUGAUAUGUGGCUCGUUGUCUGGUUCCUCGGAGUUUGAGAGAUAGAUUGACUUUAAGUUACGCCUGGAUUAAGGUUUAUGUGUGACGGAUUUUAGGUUAGGUUUUGUCUCAGGGUUUUGGAGUCUAUCGUGCAGAUAACGUGUUGUGAAUGAAGAGGGGAACUUAUCUUUAUUAUUAGGUCAACCAACUGGUCUUUAUAUACAUAUGGUAAUGACGGUCUAAGUACUGGAUCGACAUGAGAUCGUACUUAUCCUUAACUAGAUAAUGACUAGCAAUACGUAAGAUAAACACCAACUAUAAUGUGGAUAAACACAAGAGUAGAUAGGCGCCAGUAUGAUCCUGC